UACGUAGGUUGCGAGCGUUAAUCGGAAUUACUGGGCGUAAAGGGUGCGCAGGCGGCCGAGCAAGUCGAGUGUGAAAGCCCCGAGCUUAACUUGGGAACUGCGCUCGAAACUACUUGGCUAGAGUGUGGCAGAGGGAGGUGGAAUUCCACGUGUAGCGGUGAAAUGCGUAGAGAUGUGGAGGAACACCGAUGGCGAAGGCAGCCUCCUGGGCCAACACUGACGCUCAUGCACGAAAGCGUGGGGAGCAAACAGG
rnacentral:rRNA from 1 species